AGGCAAGGCAAGGCAAGGCAAGGCAAGGCAAGGCAAGGCCAGGCCAGGCAAGGCAAGGCAAGGCAAGGCCAGGCCAGGCAAGGUAAGGCAAGGUAAGGCAAGGCAAGGCCAGGAAAUAAUAGGCUAGUCCAGGCAAGGCCAGGCAAGUCCAAACAAUACGAGGCCAGGCUAGGCUAGGCCAGGCGAGUCAAGGCAAGGCAAGGCCAGGCCAGGCCAGGCCAGGCAGGCCAGACCAAGAAUGGCCAGGAGAGGCCAUUCAAGGCAAGGCAAGUCCAGAGAAGGCCAGGCAAGAAAAGGCAAGUCCAG
rnacentral:lncRNA from 1 species